GCGGGAGUAGCCCUGUUGGUAGAGCACGACCUUGCCAAGGUCGGGGUCGCGAGUUCGAGUCUCGUUUCCCGCUCCA
rnacentral:tRNA from 1 species